CAAGAAAAGUAGAAUGGACUAAAGGUCUUUUAAAAACACACCUCACCAAGCUCAGCCACCAACUUAAAAAGGACUGGACAAUACUUUUACCACUUUCCCUUCUCAGAAUUCAGGCCUGUCCUCGUAAUGCUACAGGGUACAGCCCAUUUAAGGUCCUGUAUAGACACUCCUUUUUAUUACGCCCCAGUCUCAUUCCAGACACCAGACCAACUUAGACUGUGCCUCAAAAAAAACAAAAAAACUUGUCAUCCCUACUAUCUUCUGUCUACUCAUACUCCUAUUCACCGUUCUCAACUACUCAUACAUGCCCUGCUCUUGUUUACACUGCCAGUUUACACUGUUUUUCCAAGCCAUCACAGCUGAUAUCUCCUGGUGCUAUCCCCAAACUGCCACUCUUAACUCUUGAAGUAAAUAAAUAAUCUUUGCUGGCAGGACUAUGCCAAAUCUCCUUAAACACUCUCUAAUCAGACAUCCUGAGUCGUCCCAAUUCUUAGACCUUUUAUACCUGUUUUUCUCCUUCUGUUAUUCCAUUUAGUUUUUCAAUUCAUACAAAACCGUAUCCAGGCCAUCACCAAUCAUUCUAUACGACAAAUGUUUCUUCUAACAACCCCACAAUAUCACCCCUUACCACAAGACCUCCCUUCAGCUUAAUCUCUCCCACUCUAGGUUCCCACGCCGCCCCUAAUCCCGCUCGAAGCAGCCCUGAGAAACAUCACCCAUUCUCUCUCCAUACCACCCCCCAAAAAAUUUUCGCCGCCCCAACACUUCAACACUAUUUUGUUUUAUUCUUCUUAUUAAUAUAAGAAGGCAGGAAUAUCAGGCCUCUGAGCCCAAGCCAAGCCAUCGCAUCCCCUGUGACUUGCACGUAUACGCCCAGAUGGCCUGAAGUAACUGAAGAAUCACAAAAGAAGUGAAUAUGCCUUGCCCCACCGUAACUGAUGACAUUCCACCACAAAAGAAGUGUAAAUGGCCGGUCCUUGCCUUAACUGAUGACAUUACCUUGUGAAAGUCCUUUUCCUGGCUCAUCCUGGCUCAAAAAGCACCCCCACUGAGCACCUUGCGACCCCCACUCCUACCCGCCAGAGAACAAACCCCCUUUGACUGUAAUUUUCCUUUACUGACCCAAAUCCUAUAAAACGGCCCCACCCUUAUCUCUCUUCGCUGACUCUCUUUUCGGACUCAGCCCACCUGUACCCAGGUGAAAUAAACAGCUUUAUUGCUCACACAAAGCCUGUUUGGUGGUCUCUUCACACGGACGUGCAUGAAAGUUACCAAAUAAUAUUAUUUAAUAGUUGUCGAUUUAUACAGCAUACCAUUAAUGUUAAAACCGCUGUUGCAAGAGCAUUUAGACUCUUUCUUCAUAUGCUAUGUGGCAGGAAUUCUUGACCUCUAUUUUCCAUAAAUAUUGUAUAUAUACCUAGACUAAAAUGUCCGGUGUUUUCCACUGACAGCACUGAAUGGCAUCCUGCUAUCUUCAGGCAUCUCAAAUUGAAGUCACUACAGUUGGCUGGUACAUCAAGGGGCCAGCAGGGACCACAGCACCAAAUCUUCUCUCACCAUUAUCCCAGAUAAAAAGAGUGUGCUGCCUGUAGCUGCUAGCACCCUUUCUUUGAUAAGGGAGCACCCCAUAAGCUGUCCUGGAAAGGAAGGUGUUAGUUAAGUUGUGUUGCAGGUUGGAUUCUCCGGAGGCAGAUGCCUAGAAGUUUAGGGCCCGAGGUUUAUUUGGCACCAACACCUGUGGAAGAGAGAAGAAGCAGGAUUGGGCAGUGAAAGAUGUCCAGCAGUGAUAUGGGCAUGACAAAGUCUUGGCCAGAGGCUGUCUCUGUACCACCCACAGUGGGGUAUGUGCAGUGCAGUGACAUGAUGAUAGCUCACUGCAGCCUCAACCUCCCAGGCUCAGGCAAUCCUCCUGCCUCAGCCUCCUCAAGUCCUCCUUUGAAGAGGUAGCUGGACAUCACAUCGUUGUCUACCACGUAGUGUGUCUAGAUAAGGCUGGGAAAAGUGAGGUGGGUUAUCCCUGGGCAUCCUCUGGUUUAACAAGAGUAGGAACUCAGUUGACUGCUCUUGUUUCGUAUACCAUUAGACAAGUCCACAGCAGAAAGUGAAAGCACUGCCAGGUACAGUGACUCAUGCCUGUAUUCCUAGUGUUUAGGGAGACUGAGGCAGGAGGAUCGCUUGAGGCCAGGUGUUUGAGACCAGCCUGGGCAACAUAGCAAGACCCUGUCUCUACAAAAAUUUAAAAAAUUAGCCAGGUGUGGUGGUACACACCUGUAGUGCCAUCUACUCAGCAGGUUGAGGGAGGAGGAUCACUUAACCCGGGAGGCCGAGGCUGCAGUGAGCUAUGAUCACACCAAUGCACUUCAGCCUGGGCAACAGAUUGAGAGCCUGUCUCAAAAAAAAAAAAAAAAAAAAAAGUGAAGGCACCAAGUGGCAAUUGUCAGAGGCUGUGGCCUACUCAGGAAGCAGACUUGGAGAUGGAGAGUGGUGGACAGGAGGUUUGCUAGGGAGUGGUCUUGGGAUCACCACCUCUGGAAGGGGAAAGGAAGAAGGAUGGGGCAGGAAGAGAAGUUGGCUGAUGCAUUAGUCAGGGUUCACUAGAGGGAAAGAACUAAUAGGAUAGAUGUAUAUAUGAAGGGGAGUUUAUUAGGAAGAAUCAACUCACAAGAUCACAAGGUGAAGUCCCACAAUAGGCUGUCUGCAAGCUAAGGAGCAAGGAAGCCAGUCUGAGUUCCAAAACCUCAAAAGUAGGGAAGCCGACAAUGUGGCCUUCAGUCUGUGGCCGUAAGCUCGAGAGCCCCUGGCAAACCACUGGUCUAAGUCCAAGAGUCCAAAAGCUGAAGAGCUUGGAGUCUGAUGUUCAAGAGCAGGAAGGAUUCAGCAAGAGAGAAAGAUGGAAGGCCAGAAGACUCAACAAAUGCUGAAAGAGAUAAGAUACUGAGACAGGAAGUGUAAGCUGGGACUGUCCUAAGCGAAUCAGGAAAAAGUUAUCCUGUCUAUAAUGAAGUUCAGGGAGAAAGAACAGCUUACAUUAACAGCCUUGAAGAGGCCAGGCUAACAGGGACUGCUGAUGGGGAAAUAAAGAAAUAAUCAAGGAUGAAUCCUAUAUCUGGGGCUUGAGCAAAUACGUUCAAGUCCUGACACUGGUACCUGUGAAUGUGAUCUUAUCUGGAAAGAGAGACUUUUUGGCCUAUGAGAUGUGGGGGCCCCAAAUCCAAUGACUGAAGUCAAUGGAAGAAGAUGAGAGGAUGCACAGAGAGACACACAAAGAGAAGAGCACCAUGUGUAGAUGGAGGCACAGGUUGGAGCGAUGCAGCUACAAGCCAAGGAACACCAAGGAACUAGAAAGAGGCAUUAAGAAUCCUUCCUUAGAGCCUUCAGAGGGUAGCUGGCCCUGCUGACACCUUAAUUUUGGACUUCUAGCCUCUAGAAUUAUGAGUGAAUACAUUUCUGUUAUUUUAAGCCACAGAAGUGGUAAUUUGUUAUAGCAAUGCUUGGGAACAAAUACAUAUACCAAUAUGGUUCUAUUAGCUAGUAUACUCUAAUUUUAUAGUCGGUAAUAUCAAGGGAGUAACACAAGGUAUCUGCACUACAGAAGCAGAUGUCUGAUUACUAGGUUCUGUGAUGAAACUUUGUAUUUCAAAAAAUGGAUCCCCUUCAUUCUCUCCUUGUUUCUAUGUCUGCUGUCCUGAAGCCAGAUGUGUUACCAUGAUGUCUUUAUACUAAUAUACUAACACAGCAGUUCUCAAAGCACUGUUCAUGGACACUUUGAGCUCCCUGAGACUCUUCCAGGGGGAGGCCAAAUCUAUUCUCAUACUUUCCCUUUUCACUGUGUUGACAUUUGCAGUGAUAGUGCAGAAGCAACGAUAGGCAAAACUGCUGACACCUUAGGACAAAUGGCAGUACCAGCAAUUGCACUAGUAGACAUCUUAUUCUUCGUCUUCAUGACUGGCAGAAAACAAACAAACAUAAAAAGAAUUUGACUUAAGAAUGACCUUGAUGAAGCAGCAACAUGAUUUAUUAAAUCUUUAUCCUUCAGUACAAGUCUUUUUAAUAUUGUGUGUGAUGUUAUGGGGAGUACAAAUAAAGCACUUCUGUGACAUACAGAAGUACAAAAAAAUAGUACUUGUGUAAUUGAGUUCUAGCUAAACUAGCAGCUUUUCCCAUGAACACCAGUUUUACUUGACAAACAGACUUGGGCUAUUCAGGUUAUUCAGACUUGGGUAUUUGGCAAACAUGUCCCUCCAUGCUCAGAGAUUCUCCUUCAGAGGCAACCAUCUUAGACUCUGUUUUCUUUACUGAGAAUGACAUUUCUUGUAAAAGCUUAAACACAGGUAAGGCCAAGGUAUUUUGCCUAAGGACAGAAAGCAUAAUGUUGUAGAGGUGGGUUCCCUUCCAGCCCAUUACACUUCCCAUUCCACUAAACGAGACAGGUGGUUUUCCACAUUUCAUGCAUCUCCUCCUUGAGACAGUGAAUCAAUGCUGCAAGAGAAAGAAAUGCCAGGUGGAAAAGCUGACAAGUCAGAUAUUACACAGCCACUUAAUUUUUAUUUUGUAGUUUUCACAAUUUGAGCAACCAAGUAGAAUACAUUAAAAAGAUACUAAAAAUGCGCUGUGAUAAAAUUCAUUUGACCAGGAAAUAUAGGCUUUCAUGUUUUUGUCUCCAGCUCAGCCUUUUCUCAUUUUUAAUGGCAACUGUUUUCUGGAUUUGGCACUUAUUUUGACAAAAGCUAUGUUGAGUUGCAAAUUGAAACAUGGUGCAUAGCUUCUAUGAUUAAGAAAUCCAGAAUCUAUCCAACCUAAGGCCUUAAAGGCAGAAAGAAAUGCUCAGAGAAAAAUUUCUCAACUUUGCCAUGUACCGAUAAAUGCCUGAUAUAAAUAUUAACUGUUAUUUCUGCAAACGUUCCCACUGUUUUAUAUACUUCAUUUCCCCCAUUUGUGAGACGGCAAUGUAUUCUGGAAAUUUGAUGGAUAGAAACUCGUGAUUGAGUCUUCUCAGCAUGGGAUAGGUCAGUAUUUGUGACUCAGCUGGCUGGUGCCAGAGUGGAGAACUCGUCUGAUUUGUUUCCACCCCAGGCACUGAAGGAUUUUCAAGAUUUUCCUCUUAAUAUUUGGUUUUACUUGAUAAUCCUAGAGCAUGCUGGGAAAUCUCAGCAAGAGAAAAAAUUUAGUAACCACAGGGAGGCCUGCUCAGAGGGCUGUGGGUAAGUAUGAAAGCUUAUGUGUAUGCCUACUAAUAACUCUUGAAUAUUUUGCUUUUCACAAGGUUUUCCUUCAACAAAAAGUAUGUAGGCUUGUAAGGACAGUGGGCCUUUAGAAAACUCAGCCAUUCCCAGAAAGACAAAUGCACAUUUGAGUCAUUUCCCAAGAGAGAUGUCACUAGUCAGGAAGGUAUGUGGAACCACACGGUUCAGCUUGCAAUUUAGAAUUUCAAAAGCAGGAGUUGGCCAAAAGUUGCCUAGGGUUUUUAACCUCACGUUUUUACCAUAAAUUUUCUUUCUUAUUUGUUGAGUGCUGACCUCACCCUUGUCAUAGGUGGGAUAGAAGAGAUGCUAGCUGCCUCUGAUCAACAUUGGAGAAAAUGCCCAAUUAAGAAAUAGGCUUCAUAGCCAAGGUGACUAAAUCCCAAAGGCUUGUUUGUUUUCUUUGUGCAACCCAACUUCUUAUGGGCUUGCUUUUGGAUUCUGUUGUUUCCUUUGUUUUUGUUUGGUUGGUUGUUUAUAUGUUGUUACUAAGACUCUGUCUUGGAGAUGUUGGACAAUAGGCUAGUGUCUCAUUGGAUCUAGGUGUUCCAGAUGUGAGCUAGGUCCUAGAAGGAGGUGGUAAGAAGGCUUUGCACUAUGCCCUGGGGAGGGCUGUUUUGCUGGCGGGUGACCAGGUUCUGAGGGAGUCUGUACCUAGUAGAUUUUCUCAACAUUCAGCAGGUGUGUGAGACACCUGACAUGGCUGAUCUUGGUACAGAAGGAAUCCAGCUGGAAGUGAUCUGUGUGUAGCAUGUCUCAUAGAAAUACAAGGAGCCUUGUCUUGUGACCCUGUACCUGUAAGGCCUCAAAGGACCUCACUCAUAACAGCUAGGAUGACUCUAUGAACCCCUAUAUGCUGGAAAUAGCCCCAGCUUAAUUUAGUUUAAUUCAGUUCACACUUAUUAGGUUCCUACUAAGAAAAAUAAUUUGCUUGAACAUAAUUAUUUUUUGUGAUUUAGUUUAUCCUCAUUUUAAUUGGAAGAAACUGGGGAUUAGAGAGGGUAAGUGGCUUAUCCAAGUUCAUACGACUGGUUCUUCCUGCCACAUGGCUUCAUUUUGAUAAGAAAUAUGACUUUCUCUUCUGUGAUAAAAAUAAGAUCUUGUGCCCUGGUGAGUUGGACAGUCUGGGAGUUCUGCCUGUUCUGAUUUUUUUUCCUGGUGGGAUAUUGGAUGAAACAUUCUAAUACUCAAUUCUAAAUUCAUGGUAACUUUGGGAAAUGUAUGUGCUUGUGUACAUGUGUGCGCAUGUGUGUGUAUGUGAAAUAGAAUGUAUGAUAGUUGUCCCAGGGUAGAUUUCCUGAAACAAACUCAUGUCUAUUGGGGCACUCAUCAUACCUUCCCUUUACUCUGUGUCUAAUGCUGGUCUCCCUUAGGCUCAUCAAUUAGGAAAGCCUAUAGCUGUUGCCACAUAACUGUCUGGAACUCUCAAUGUUGAUAUAUCAUUUUUAUCUGUUUAUAGACAAAUGAAAAUUUAGCCACUUUUUUUAUUACUUAAAUUGAAGACAGCUCAAGCCUGUCUCAACAAUGUGAGAAUGUCUUCUUUUUAUAAUCUCAAGUCCUUAUGAUGCUUAUGCAAACCUUUUUAAAGAAUAAAUAUAAAAGGAAUAUUGCCCCUGAUUAUGUAAAGCUGAUGUGGCAGACAUGGUAGAUUGUCUUGUUUGACAUCUGUACUAUCUCAUUCUCGUCUGCUCUUCCAUAUAGCGUUUGUCAGGAAUCCUUGUUUUGAAGGAUCUUGAUAUGUUUUGGAUACAAAUUUUAGUGGCAGCAGUGCUGAAGGCACCAUUCACUCUUUUGAGUCUAGCAGAAGCAAAGCCACAUUAAAGCCCAUAGUUCUUAGCAGCUUUCCAAUUCCCAGAUUGCAGAGAGUGCAGAUAAGUUACUGUAUUCCUGAAGUGGUUUCCUGAUUCCCUCAUAUAUCAGUCAAGAAUCUCCAAAGAAACAGAAAAAAUAGAAGAUAUAUAUGUUAAAGAAUUGGCUUGAGUGAUUUUGGGGACUGGCAAGUCCAAAAUUUGUAGGACAGGCCAGCUGGCUGGAAACUGAGAUAGGAAGUGAUAUAGUCUUGGGUGUGAAACCUGUAGGACAGGCUGGCAGGCUGGAAGCUCAGGAAGGAUUUACAUUAAAAUGUUGAGGCAAAAAGUAAAAUAAAUAAAAUGGUGAGGUGGAAUUCUCCAUUCUCUAGAAAAUCCCAAUUUUUGCUCUUAACACCUUCAACUGAUUAGAUAAUGUGUGCCCACAUUAUCUUUAAAAGUAAUGUUCUUUAAAGUCAACUGAUUGUAGAUAUUAAUCCCAUCUACAAAAUACCUUUAUAGCAAUAUCUAGAUUAGUGUUUGACCAAACAACUGGGCACCAUAGCUGAGCCAAACUGACACAUAAAAUUAACCGUCACAUCUAGUUUCCUGACUGUGGCAGAGAUAACGAUGAACUUGAUGGGCCACUUAAGCAGGAUUCUUCUAGAAAUCUGUCCUGGAGUUUCAUCCUAGAAUCUGCUAUGACAACCAGCUCAUCUAAGAAAUUU
rnacentral:lncRNA from 1 species